AAAGGCUUAGGUUCAACUCAGACCUAAGGCCUUCAAAGCCUUCAGCAGAUGUAAAUCCAUCUAGCCUUUG
rnacentral:tRNA from 1 species